rnacentral:misc_RNA from 1 species
GUACCCUCAAGCUUUGCUUGGUGUUGGGCGUCUUGUCUCCAGUUCGCUGGAGACUCGCCUUAAAGUAAUUGGCAGCCGGCCUACUGGUUUCGGAGCGCAGCACAAGUCGCGCUCUCUUCCAGCUAAGGUCAGCAUCCACAAAGCCUUUUUUCAAC